rnacentral:rRNA from 1 species
UGCAUAUACAUGCAGUCGAACGAACUUCCGUUAAUUGAUUAUGACAGUACUUGUACUGAUUGAGAUUUUAACACGAAGUGAGUGGCGAACGGGUGAGUAACACGUGGGUAACCUGCCCAGAAGUAGGGGAUAACACCUGGAAACAGAUGCUAAUACCGUAUAACAGAGAAAACCGCAUGGUUUUCUUUUAAAAGAUGGCUCUGCUAUCACUUCUGGAUGGACCCGCGGCGUAUUAGCUAGUUGGUGAGGUAAAGGCUCACCAAGGCAGUGAUACGUAGCCGACCUGAGAGGGUAAUCGGCCACAUUGGGACUGAGACACGGCCCAGACUCCUACGGGAGGCAGCAGUAGGGAAUCUUCCACAAUGGACGCAAGUCUGAUGGAGCAACGCCGCGUGAGUGAAGAAGGGUUUCGGCUCGUAAAGCUCUGUUGUUAAAGAAGAACGUGGGUAAGAGUAACUGUUUACCCAGUGACGGUAUUUAACCAGAAAGCCACGGCUAACUACGUGCCAGCAGCCGCGGUAAUACGUAGGUGGCAAGCGUUAUCCGGAUUUAUUGGGCGUAAAGCGAGCGCAGGCGCGCAUUAAGUAAUCCGCCUGGGGAGUACGACCGCAAGGUUGAAACUCAAAAGAAUUGACGGGGGCCCGCACAAGCGGUGGAGCAUGUGGUUUAAUUCGAAGCUACGCGAAGAACCUUACCAGGUCUUGACAUCUUCUGACAGUCUAAGAGAUUAGAGGUUCCCUUCGGGGACAGAAUGACAGGUGGUGCAUGGUUGUCGUCAGCUCGUGUCGUGAGAUGUUGGGUUAAGUCCCGCAACGAGCGCAACCCUUAUUACUAGUUGCCAGCAUUAAGUUGGGCACUCUAGUGAGACUGCCGGUGACAAACCGGAGGAAGGUGGGGACGACGUCAAAUCAUCAUGCCCCUUAUGACCUGGGCUACACACGUGCUACAAUGGAUGGUACAACGAGUCGCGAGACCGCGAGGUUAAGCUAAUCUCUUAAAACCAUUCUCAGUUCGGACUGUAGGCUGCAACUCGCCUACACGAAGUCGGAAUCGCUAGUAAUCGCGGAUCAGCAUGCCGCGGUGAAUACGUUCCCGGGCCUUGUACACACCGCCCGUCACACCAUGAGAGUUUGUAAUACCCAAAGCCGGUGGGCGUAACCUAGUAGGAGCUAGCCGUCCAAGAUGGA